rnacentral:rRNA from 1 species
AGAGUUUGAUCCUGGCUCAGAUUGAACGCUGGCGGCAGGCCUAACACAUGCAAGUCGAACGAAGUCUUCGGACUUAGUGGCGGACGGGUGAGUAACACGUGGGAACGUGCCUUUAGGUUCGGAAUAACUCAGGGAAACUUGUGCUAAUACCGAAUGUGCCCUUCGGGGGAAAGAUUUAUCGCCUUUAGAGCGGCCCGCGUCUGAUUAGCUAGUUGGUGAGGUAAAGGCUCACCAAGGCGACGAUCAGUAGCUGGUCUGAGAGGAUGAUCAGCCACAUUGGGACUGAGACACGGUCCAGACUCCUACGGGAGGCAGCAGUGGGGAAUAUUGGACAAUGGGCGAAAGCCUGAUCCAGCCAUGCCGCGUGUGUGAAGAAGGUCUUCGGAUUGUAAAGCACUUUAAGUUGGGAGGAAGGGUAGUAACCUAAUACGUUGCUGCUUUGACGUUACCGACAGAAUAAGCACCGGCUAACUUCGUGCCAGCAGCCGCGGUAAUACGAAGGGUGCAAGCGUUAAUCGGAAUUACUGGGCGUAAAGCGCGCGUAGGUGGUUCAGCAAGUUGGAUGUGAAAGCCCUGGGCUCAACCUGGGAACUGCAUCCAAAACUACUGAGCUAGAGUACGGUAGAGGGUAGUGGAAUUUCCUGUGUAGCGGUGAAAUGCGUAGAUAUAGGAAGGAACACCAGUGGCGAAGGCGACUACCUGGACUGAUACUGACACUGAGGUGCGAAAGCGUGGGGAGCAAACAGGAUUAGAUACCCUGGUAGUCC